GAGUUGGUAGCUCAGUGGUAGAGUGCAUGCUUUGUAUGUAUGAUGUCCUGGGUUCAAUUCCGAGCUUUUCCC
rnacentral:tRNA from 1 species